rnacentral:rRNA from 1 species
CCUACGGGAGGCAGCAGUGGGGAAUAUUGCACAAUGGGGGAAACCCUGAUGCAGCGACGCCGCGUGAGUGAAGAAGUAUUUCGGUACGUAAAGCUCUAUCAGCAGGGAAGAAAAUGACGGUACCUGACUAAGAAGCCCCGGCUAACUACGUGCCAGCAGCCGCGGUAAUACGUAGGGGGCAAGCGUUAUCCGGAUUUACUGGGUGUAAAGGGAGCGUAGACGGCAGCGCAAGUCUGGAGUGAAAUCCCAUGGCUUAACCAUGGAACUGCUUUGGAAACUGUGCAGCUAGAGUGCAGGAGAGGUAAGCGGAAUUCCUAGUGGAGCGGUGAAAUGCGUAGAUAUUAGGAGGAACACCAGUGGCGAAGGCGGCUUACUGGAUUGUAACUGACGUUGAGGCUCGAAAGCGUGGGGAGCAAACAGGAUUAGAUACCCCAGUAGUC